GACGUAGGGCGCGAGCGUUGUCCGGAUUUACUGGGCGUAAAGCGCGCGUAGGCGGGAGGUGAAGUCCGGUGGGAAAGCCCACGGCUCAACCGUGGAAGAACGCUGGAAACUCACCUUCUUGAGGGCGGCAGAGGGAAGUGGAAUUGCUGGUGUAGCGGUGAAAUGCGUAGAUAUCAGCAGGAACACCCGUGGCGAAGGCGGCUUCCUGGGCCGCCCCUGACGCUGAGGCGCGAAGGCGUGGGGAGCGAACGGG
rnacentral:rRNA from 1 species